GUGUGUGUGUGUGUGUCCAAAUGGAAACUGAGAUAGCUGAAUUUGUCUUUUUUUUUGUCUUUUUUGCCAGCAGGAAUGAUUCUAAAAUGAAUUCUUUUGUCUUUAAAAAUGGAGAGGAGUAGAGGUGAAACGAACCAAGAACAGAGAACAAAGAGAGGAGAGGAAAGGGGGAGGUCACAAGAGAAGCAUCCGGAACAAGCAGAUGUCUGCUAAGGGGAAGCUUCCUGAAAUGUUCUAAUCAGAACAGAUUGGGCUCAUCAGGAACGGGCCUUAAAGAGAGAGGAGCUAAAACGGCCUGUUUCAGACAGAAGCUGAACUGAGGGGCUGCAUAAAGGGAACAAUUGGAAAAGACUUGGUGAGAUGUGGAAGUGAGAAAAGACAAGAAAGGACAGAAAAAAGAAGGGAAGAGAGGACGAACCCAGAAAACCUGCCUCUAUAAUCUCCAGAACGAGGGGAAAGGAUAAAAGACCAGCAGAGAUGAGCUGAGGUGAGGCAAGAAAAAAAUGAGAAUAUAUUUGGAGAAACAACAGAAAAAAAGAGGAAAAGGAGGACAUUACUAAAGGAGGAGGUGAAGAGAGAAGGUAAGAGACAAAUAACAGGAUAAAGGAGAACAGAAAAGGAGAAGCCAGACGAUAAGGUGAGAUUUGAAGACGGAUGGAUGAGAAGACAAACCUGGAAAACCUUCCUCCUCCUCCUCCUCUAUAAUUUCCAGAACAAGAGGAGGGGAUACAAGUCAAAAUGAGAGAAGAAACAAAGACGAGAGGUGAAAGAAAACAAAACAGAAAGCAGUAAUUUAGAGAAAAGAAAAUGAAAACUUGAUAUUUGAAGAACAUCAGGAAAAGAAGGAGAUGGUGAAAAACCCAGAAAAUCUCCCUCACAAAACAAGAGGAGAGAUAAAAGACGGGAGAUGGGAAACAAGAUGAGGUGAAAGAAAAAUUAUGAGACGACAGGAAAGGGAGGAAGAUGGAUGAAGGGAAACUCUUUAAGAACAGCUGCAAAAACAAUCCGGUCUCACAUCAAAAUGUAGUUACAUUGGUCCACAGCGCAAAACGUGUCAGUGUCACAACAACGGCUCUAAAACUGUGAGAUGCUCAUGUUUUUUUGUGUGUUUGUUUGUUUUUUUAGCCUUUUAUUUUC